GAUAACAACAAAAUCCUAUUCUAGGAUUCCCUAUUGGCAAUAGGGUUUACAACCUCGAUGUUGGAUCAGGACAUCCUAAUGGUGUAGCUGCUAUUAAGGGUUCAUUUAUUCAAUGAUUAAAGUCCUACCUGAUCUGAGUUCAGACCGGAGUAAUCCAGGUU
rnacentral:ncRNA from 1 species